GCGAACGCUGGCGGCAUGCCUAACCCAUGCAAGUCGCACGGGGGGGCUUCGGCCUCCCAGUGGCGGACGGGUGAGGAACGCGUAGGGACCUGUCGAGGGGUGGGGGAUAACCGCGGGAAACUGCGGCUAAUACCGCAUGACGCCGCGGCGUGACAGCCGGGGCCAAAGGCGAAAGCCGCCCGCCGAGGGGCCUGCGUCCGAUUAGCUGGUUGGCGGGGUAGCGGCCCACCAAGGCGUCGAUCGGUAGCUGGUCUGAGAGGGUGAUCAGCCACACCGGGACUGAGACACGGCCCGGACUCCUACGGGAGGCAGCAGUGGGGAAUAUUGGACAAUGGGCGCAAGCCUGAUCCAGCAAUGCCGCGUGGGUGAAGAAGGUCUUCGGAUUGUAAAGCCCUUUCGGCGGGGACGAUGGUGACGGUACCCGCAGAAGAAGCCCCGGCUAACUUCGUG
rnacentral:rRNA from 1 species